CGUGUCUCCUUAGCAUGGUACAAACUCAGGUGUGCCUGGUGGCAGUGAGCCAGCUCUGCUUCAGAUUAGUUAUGCCAGGUUUCUCUCUUCUUUUCCUCCUUCUUCUUUUCCAAUAGAGUGGACUUUGUAUAAAACAGUUUAAUUUUGUAGGGGGUUGUUAAUUUUAGUAUCACAGAGAGCUUCUGGGGAUCCUUUUUAAUUAGUUCAGUGGCUUAUUUUUCAAUGUAUUUAUUUAUCCAUAUACCCUUCUUUUUCCUGCCAAAAAGAAGGCAUUGAACAGCGUUUGAUGAUUGAAAGACUAGCUGGGAUAAUAUUAAUUUUCUCUGUUUCUAACCAUGUGCAUGCUGGGAUUUAAGAUAUGCGUGAAAUUUUCUGUAGAAUCAUAAGAUGCUGAGGUUGGAAGAAUAUGCAAAGAACAUCUCAGCAACCCCUCAUUUGUAGAUAAGAAAACUGAGGCCCUGAAAUGAUAAGAGAAUCAUCCGAGGUCACAUGAAUGCUUAUUGGUAUUGUUGGGACAGGUACCUGGUCCUCUUUUCUUGGCGUCACUAUAUAACCUAUCACUUUAGCAUUUUUCUCAAUGAGGUGAGGGAGCCUGGGGUUCCAAUACUGUACAACUUCAUUAUAUUUCCCCAUUUUUUCUCAUUUGUCCUUCUGAUGGAGUACAGUAGGUUGAAUGGUGGUCCCCUAAAAAAAUAUAUCCACAUCCUAUUCCCUGGAACUGGUGGAUGUCAGUUUAUCUGGAAAAAAGUCUUUGAAGACAUAAUUAAUUUAAAGAUAGUAAGAUGAUGAGAUUAUCCUGGAUUAUCUUGGUAGACCCAAGAUCCAAUGGCAAGUGUCUUUAUAACAGAAGGGCAGAGGAAGAUGAGACUGACUGAAGAGAAGAAAGGGGAGAAGGCGAUGUGAAGGUGGAGGCAGAGAUUUGGAGAAGCCAAGGAGCGCAGACAACCACCAGAAGCUGGAAGAGGCAGGGAACGAUCCUCCCCUAAAGUCUCUGGAGACCGAACAGCCCUGCCAACCCCUUGAAAUCUGAUUUCUGACCUCCAAAACUCUGAGAGAAUAAAUGUCUGUUUAAAGCCACUCAGCCUUUGAUCAUUUGUUAUAGCAGCUGCAGGAAACUAAUACAUGGGGGAAGAGCUGAUAUGAUAGAACUGAUGUUAUAUAAAAAAAAUCAUAGAACCGAUGUCCUUUCUCUCACUGCUGACCUCACACACGCUAAGGGAGAGUGGGUGUCUGCUGAUGGGAGUGGACAGUCAAAGAGCUUCAGGGACACAUGAGAGUUUUUGUUGUGAUAUAGACAGGCAAUAAUGACCUUCUGGCAAAUGACGGGGAUUUUAUUAAAAAAUCUCUCAGAGAAAGAUUGAGAACAUCAAGUCGAAUAAAGUGAAGGCAUGAGAGAGGGACAGACUAUUCCUUGUUUUGUGCUCACACCCUUUCAGAUCGUGGUGCCCUCACCCUGCUUCCUGGAUGUCCCUGAGCCCUUCUCACUAAGCCACUCCUCUCCGCCUUCUGCUAAGCUGUCUCCAACCUCUGUCUCCUUUCAUCAGGGCUCUCUUCCUAGGGCUAACUCCCAACCCCCAAUUAAUUUGUUGCAAGGAGAUAAAACUGAUUAUAACUCAUUGUUACCCUGUUUUAAUAACAUUUGUCUUUUACGACUGAUCUUGGACCCAUUAACCUGAGGAGAGAAGUCAGCGGGGGUUUCACGCAGGUUCCACAUCAGCCUAAGGGAGAGACAUUUUGGAGAGAGAGGAGCAUUCCUCCUGCCCGUCCUGUCGUACUGCAUCAAGUCCAGCCCAGUUCGCUAGCAGCAUGGUGUGUAGGCAGUAGUACAGCCCCAGAUGUAUCGGAGAAGGAACCCUAAAUAUGGAAGAAGAAAAACUCUUCCAUCCAGUCAAUCAGCAAUGAAAGAACACCGGAAGUCACUUCUUCCAACCCAUGUGCUCCCCUCAAAGAAGCCUUUAAGGAUUCACCAACAACUCCAUGCUGUGGAAUGAGAAAAGAUGUGCAGCAGAGGGAUCAUAAACAGAAGAUUUUUAUUCCUGAGCAAGCAAAAUGAAAAUUCAGCAAACAAAUCGAAGAAUCAAGAUAAAGACCUAAAAGAUGAAAUGGGAACACGAACUAUAUAACAAUGAACAUAAAACAAAAUCCUCUCAGCACUCAGGCAAUUACGCUGGUCCUGUGGUGAGUCAAAGUGAGCAAAAUACUCCUUCAGAAGAAAGUGUUGAUGCUUGCAGGAGUGUGAACAUCUUGCAUCUAUAUAUUACUUUAUACUGUAAAGUGCCCUCACAUCUGUUUCCUAAAAUGAGUUUUAUAUGAACUCUGUGGUGUUUGUAGGGGAUUAUAACAGAUGUGGGGGAAAAAAAGGACACUCUGGACAGUAAAAAAAGUCAUCUGACUUAUAGCUGGUCAAAUGAUAGAUGUCUGAUCCAGUAACAGAUGACAGUUCUCUGUCUUUUAUUACAUAACUGUUUCUACCACUUUUGGUAAUGUUUGGAAUAAAACUUAAGUUACUUUUUCUUUUUUAGUAUC